rnacentral:rRNA from 1 species
UACAGAGGGGGCAAGCGUUGUUCGGAAUUACUGGGCGUAAAGGGCGCGUAGGCGGCCUUCUAAGUCGAACGUGAAAUCCCUGGGCUCAACCCAGGAACUGCGUCCGAUACUGGAAGGCUUGAAUCCGGGAGAGGGAUGCAGAAUUCCAGGUGUAGCGGUGAAAUGCGUAGAUAUCUGGAGGAAUACCGGUGGCGAAGGCGGCAUCCUGGACCGGCAUUGACGCUGAUGAGCGAAAGCUAGGGGAGCAAACGGGG